CUAUAUUUUACAAUUUCAAUCAAUAUAAAAUUUCAACAUUUGAUACAUUUAUAUACAUUUACAAUUUUACACUUUGGUGACAUAAAGAUAAUCAAUAGUAUUACACACGUAAAAACGCGCAAGUUGUAACAAACCUGCAGCAGACUUGUAGCAAUGCUGUUCCAACAACUUGUCAACAGGAUGUGUUCACACUGCUUGUUCCCAGCUUGUUGACAAAUUGUCAACCGCUUGUUGACAACUUGCUACAAGGUUGUUGAGCUCAACAGACUUGUUACAAGAUGUUUCAACAACUUGUUAUCGUCCUGCAAUUCAAUAAUUUGUCAACAAGUUGUGAGUGACAACCUUGUAGAAACUUGAUAAAAUAACAGCAUUGUUACAACUUGUUAACAAGCCUGCUACAAGCCUGUUGCGAACACAUCUUGUUGACAAGUUCUGAGAUUUUUACAUUGUUUCAAAAGGUUUGGAACAACUUGUUGACAACUUGUAACAACCUUGUCGAAAUUAUCAGAC
rnacentral:lncRNA from 1 species